GUCAUUACUGCCGGGGAAAGUGAGUUGAUGAUCACAGAAAUGCGCUGGCGGGUGCGUUAAGACUGUGCUCAGUCACAGUGAGCGCGCCGAUAUUAAUGUGAACAUAGCAAAGAGUCGUGCAUCGCUCUCUGUGUCUGUGUGUGUGUGUGUGUCUGUGUCUGUGUCUGUGUCUGUGUCUGUGUCUGUUGUGCGUGUAUGUUGUGCGUGUGCUUUUCACGAUUGCUCCAGUGCAAUGUACAUUCUCGCCCUACUGUGCAAAGUUUUCCUGUGUAAAGACCCAUCCCCCAUCACUGUCAUCCUUUGUGGUUCAUUCCAUCCACUUCAGGAGCAGUUACUGUAAGUAUUUACAUAACCCCCCCCCCACCCCCCAAGACCUUGGAGUUCAGCAGCCGCUUACUUUAGGCUCCCACAGAUAUGAAACAACAGUGUGUGUGUGUGUGUGUGUCUAUGGGGGGGGCAAGGUUUUCCUUGUAAAAAAAGUACCCUGGCUGUCUUUGGUGUUGUGUUAGCAUGGUUCCCAUGGUCACACGCGCUCGUGAAAUGUUUGCUGUCAGGAGGCUGAGCGGCGUCUGUGUUUACCUGCCUCUCUUCAGAGCAAGGCCCACAGUGGAGCAGUCUGGGUUGUGCCGCUUCCAUCAUCUUUUUUUUCUGUCUCUCUCCCUGUCUCCGUUUUAAGGGGGACACACAUUUUCUCUGAGUUGGGUGCUUCAGCGAGAGAUUAGUGGCACUCUCUGGUUGCUCUCUCUCUGUGCCAUGGCCUUCAGAGCCUCAGGCAGAGGCAGAGGCAGAGUGGACUGGAGGCUGUGAGGUGAAGUGUUUGAUGUGGUUCUUUGAGCACAGUUGAAAGGCUGAUGCUACCGUGGGUCUAGCCCACCAUGUCUCAGAUGUCCUGCUGGACAUCAACAGAGAGCAGAUGCAGUUUUUAUAUUUCUGCAUGUUUUUUUUUUUUUCAUUAGUUUACUUUAUAAAUGAUUUGUCUGAUGGUAUGCAUUUGAAAGGACUUAACCUAUUACUUUGACGUAUGGUGUGGCAGAAGCAAGUGUUUUGGAAAUGUAACCAAUCCCGUUGUUGCGUGUAGAAAUAGUUUUGAGCACACCCGCAUAAAGCAUAGAGCUUUUUGUAGCGGUGGAUCACAGGGUCCAGCUCUCCUCCCCUAGGUCUCUCCAUUGGCGUGUGUAGUCAGGGCAGGACACAGGGAUCCACAGCCCAGACCUCAGCCGCCCCACUCACUUACCCUCUCUUUAAAUCUGAUGCUUUUGACACCCAGGUGCUCAGGUUGUCAGAAGCAGCCCGACGCCCUGGGCCAGGGCCUCUGCCUUGUGUGGUGCUGGGCUGUGGACCGGGAAAGGAUGGGGAUGGUCUACUCAAGGAGGCAUUCUCGUAACUAUCUGACGGUUGGGGAAUAGACUUAUUGGGCAGGUCCUUAAUGGCAUCACCACAAAACCAUUACAGAAUUAUUUUUGGCUGUUGACCUGCCUUUUAGCUGGAUUUUGGAAACGUGUGUGUUUGUGUGUGUGUGCGCGCGCCCCGAGUGCUCAGAGUGUAACUUGUAGACGCAGGAACAACAGCUAGACAGAGACCCCAUGACAGCAGCUCACAUGCCCACCCCCCACCCCCCAAUGUUCCACUACUAGCACACACACACACCCUUAUCUCCUUAACACACCCUUAUUCCGGGGGGCAUCUGUGGUGCAAGUGGUAGCGUCCUGACCAUGCGUGGGCCUGAGUGCCCACGAGGACCCGAAUCGAAGUCUGGCUCGCGGUCAUUUCCCGAUCCCACUCCCAAUCUCUCUCCCACUCAUUUCCUGUCUCUUCACUGUCCUGUCUGAUUAAAGUUACAUUCAUCCAAAAAUAAAACAACAACAAAAACAGUCACUACCGCUCUCUCUGCACCCUUCUGCUCGGGUCUCAUUUGGCUUUCUCUGCACCUUUAUUUCUCUCCAAGUCUCUCGCUCGCUCGUCCCCUUUCCCCCCUUCAAUCACUCAGCCCGAUUUGUCACCGGGGUGUCCCAUUUCUGAAAAAGAAAUGAGAGCGGCGAGGUUGGGGGAACGGCGCAAAUGGAUGCACCUGCUCAUGAAUUUAAUCAAGCCACUCCAUCUUCAUUUUUAAUUUAUUUUCUCCUGCCUGUAAUGAUGGCGUCGCGCAGUAGCCCGCGGGGGGCGGCAGCCCUCUCUCUCUCUCUCUCUCUCUCUCUCUCUCUCUCUCUGAAGCCUCUGCUUCUGUCACUUUCUGACGGGCGGCCGGGGAAAGAGGCUGCCACUCUAUUAUCUCUCGCUCAUGACGGCUCAGGCAUCCGUCUCCAUCCAUUUGGAGGGGCAGUGUCUCGCCUGCGUUGUUGUCAUUCCUGCUCCUGCAGGUGGCACGUUUCUUUCCUCACUGAUGUCGCAGCUGUGUGAAAUAUCAGACCCCCCCCC
ensembl:lncRNA